GACGGAGGGUGCAAGCGUUGCUCGGAAUCACUGGGCGUAAAGGGUGCGUAGGCGGUCUCGCAAGUCUGGCGUGAAAGCCCAAGGCUCAGCCUUGGAAGUGCGCUCGAAACGGCGAGGCUGGAGUGCCGGAGGGGAGAGUGGAAUUCCCGGUGUAGCGGUGAAAUGCGUAGAGAUCGGGAGGAACACCAGAGGCGAAGGCGGCCUACUGGGCUGCACCUGACGCUGAGCCGCGAAAGCCAGGGGAGCGAACGGG
rnacentral:rRNA from 1 species